rnacentral:tRNA from 1 species
AAUCGUUUGGCAUAAUGGUAGCGUGUUUAUUUUUUAAAUAAAAGGUUUUUAAUUCGAUUUUAAAAAUGUUCG